rnacentral:rRNA from 1 species
AUUGAACGCUGGCGGCAGGCCUAACACAUGCAAGUCGAGCGAGCGGCGGACGGGUGAGUAAUGUCUGGGAAUCUGCCUGAUGGAGGGGGAUAACUACUGGAAACGGUAGCUAAUACCGCAUACCAUCAGAUGAACCCAGAUGGGAUUAGGUUGUGGGUGGGGUAACGGCUCACCAAGGCGACGAUCCCUAGCUGGUCUGAGAGGAUGAACAGCCACACUGGAACUGAGACACGGUCCAGACUCCUACGGUAGGCAGCAGUGGGGAAUAUUGCACAAUGGGCGCAAGCCUGAUGCAGCCAUGCCGCGUGUAUGAAGAAGGCCUUCGGGUUGUAAAGUACUUUCAGCGGGGAGGCGUUACCCGCAGAAGAAGCACCGGCUAACUCCGUGCCAGCAGCCGCGGUAAUAC